rnacentral:rRNA from 1 species
GUCGAACGCUGGCGGCGUGCUUAACACAUGCAAGUCGAACGUAGUGGCGAACGGGUGAGUAACGCGUAAGCAACCUGCCCUUCAGAGGGGGACAACAGUGGGAAACGACUGCUAAUACCGCAUACGGAUGGCGGGGUUUGCGUUGGAUUAGCUAGUUGGCGGGGUAAAGGCCCACCAAGGCGACGCUCCGUAGCGGGUCUGAGAGGAUGAGCCGCCACACUGGGACUGAGACACGGCCCAGACUCCUACGGGAGGCAGCAGUGGGGAAUUUUGGACAAUGGGCGCAAGCCUGAUGCAGCCAUGCCGCGUGUCUGAAGAAGGCCUUCGGGUUGUAAAGGACUUUUGUCAGGGAAGCGGUACCUGAAGAAUAAGCACCGGCUAACUACGUGCCAGCAGCCGCGGUAAUUC